rnacentral:sRNA from 1 species
GUUUCCCUGCCUGGUGCGUGACAAGUGCGGUUUUCUUUUUGCCAGUGUUAAAUCAAAUGGAAUCCCUUCCUGGCCACGGCAUUUACGCCCCCAAGUCGGGGAUUAGUAAAGUGGACAUAGGGAUCCACCCUUGAGAGAGGGCCAAACAAGAGAACCGCCGCAACGGCCUUAUGGCGGGGAGGUU